CUGUUAGAAUGGAGGUGGUGAUGGCCUGCCUGCCACAGGGGUCAGAAACCACAGGGUCCCUCCCACCCCAGGCUGAGGUCUUCCUCCUGUUGACUUCGGCGCCCACUGGGCUUGGGGCUUGACUCCAGUAGAGAUCUUCUGUCUGGCUCUGUUGUGGGCAGAGAGUCCGGAUCAGAUGGUCCAGGUGGACCAUGGCUCAGGCUGUUCUCUUGCAAUUCUGGUUUUCAGCAGUCGCCUCUUAAAACAGUUCCAUUUCAUUGCACUAUGAUCUCGACAAAUACGUCUGCUGAUGUGGCGGCUCUUUUCAGGUUCCCAGAAAAAUCAUAAAGGUUGGAAGCAUAUUGUUAACAUUCUUGGUUGUCAGGUGUGUCACCCUCAUGCAGAUGCUGGCCCACGAGUGAGACGGAGGGUGGAGUGGACUGUACUGGUUUUGCACAGGAGAAGUUAUAGGAGAGUGCUAUAAGUUGGCUCUGUGAUAUGAACAUUUCUAAGCAUAUUUUUCAGAACCAGUGAGUUUUGUUUUUCUACCUUGGAUUUCAUGACAAUUCAGCGAACCUCUGGCUGGCUUCUGUGAAGCCCCUCGCCCUGUCAUGCUGGGCUUCCUCACUGGCUUUGUGGGGCUGUCCAGGUGGAGGGAGCCUCCCGCGUGGGAGGGAGCUGCUCUACCCGCCACUCGCCACCCCACCGCCAACUCUUCCUCUGCCUUUUCCCAGUCCUGUCCCUUCCUGAGCCCCUUCAGAAACUCCUGUGUCUUUGAUUUCUCAUGUGCCUCCCCUUUUCUUGAAUGUGCUUCUUCAUUCAACUUAUUUAAAAUAAAA
rnacentral:lncRNA from 1 species